rnacentral:tRNA from 1 species
GGUCCUGUGGAGCAACUGGUAGCUCACCGCCCUCUCACGGCGGACGUUGCGGGUUCGAACCCCGUCAGGACUU